rnacentral:rRNA from 1 species
CAAUAGCGUAUAUUAAAGUUGUUGCAGUUAAAAAGCUCGUAGUUGAAUUUUUGCUUGCCGCCGAUGUCGGAACUUCCGUACGUUCGGCGGCGUGCAUCCUUGGGUGGAACCUGUGUGGCAUUAGGUUGUCGUGCAGGGGAUGCUCAUCGUUUACUGUGAAAAAAUUAGAGUGUUCAAAGCAGGCUUAUGCCGUUGAAUAUAUUAGCAUGGAAUAAUAAGAUAGGACCUUGGUACUAUUUUGUUGGUUUGCGCGCCGAGGUAAUGAUUAACAGGGACAGUUGGGGGUAUUCGUAUUCCAUUGUCAGAGGUGAAAUUCUUGGAUUUCUGGAAGACGAACUACUGCGAAAGCAUUUACCAAGGAUGUUUUCAUUAA